AUUGCACAAUGGGCGAAAGCCUGAUGCAGCAACGCCGCGUGAGUGAUGAAGGCCUUCGGGUCGUAAAACUCUGUCCUCAAGGAAGAUAAUGACGGUACUUGAGGAGGAACGCCCCGGCUAACUACGUGCCAGCAGCCGCGGUAAUACGUAGGGGGCUAGCGUUAUCCGGAUUUACUGGGCGUAAAGGGUGCGUAGGCGGUCUUUCAAGUCAGGAGUGAAAGGCUACGGCUCAACCGUAGUAAGCUCUUGAAACUGGGAGACUUGAGUGCAGGAGAGGAGAGUGGAAUUCCUAGUGUAGCGGUGAAAUGCGUAGAUAUUAGGAGGAACACCAGUUGCGAAGGCGGCUCUCUGGACUGUAACUGACGCUGAGGCACGAAAGCGUGGGGAGCAAACAGGAUUAGAUACCCUGGUAGUCCACGCUGUAAACGAUGAGUACUAGGUGUCGGGGGUUACCCCC
rnacentral:rRNA from 1 species